rnacentral:rRNA from 1 species
CCUACGUGAGACAGCAGUAGGGAAUCUUCCACAAUGGGCGCAAGCCUGAUGGAGCAACACCGCGUGAGUGAAGACGGGUUUCUGCUCGUAAAGCUCUGUUGUUGGAGGAGAACAUGCGUGCAAGUAACUGUUCACGCAUUGACGGUAUCCAACCAGAAAGUCACGGCUAACUACGUGCCAGCAGCCGCGGUGAUACGUAGGGGGCAAGCAUUAUCCGGAUUGAUUGGGAGUAAAGCGAGCGCAGGCGGUUGCUUAGGUCUGAUGUGAAAGCCGUCGGCUUAACCGAAGAAGUGCAUCGGAAACCGGGCGACUUGAGUGCAGAAGAGGACAGGGGAACUCCAUGUGUAGCGGUGGAAUGCGUAGAUAUAUGGAAGAACACCAGUGGCGAAGGCGGCUGUCUGGUCUGUAACUGACGCUGAGGCUCGAAAGCAUGGGUAGCGAACAGGAUUAGAUACCCUAGUAGUC